rnacentral:rRNA from 1 species
CGAGCCUCGGGCAGCGUACACAGGUGCUGCAUGGCUGUCGUCAGCUCGUGCCGUGAGGUGUUGGGUUAAGUCCCGCAACGAGCGCAACCCUCAUCGCUAGUUACAUGUGUCUAGCGAGACUGCCAGGGUUAACCCUGGAGGAAGGUGGGGAUGACGUCAAGUCAGCAUGGCCUUUAUGCCCAGGGCUACACACACGCUACAAUGGUCAGCACAAUGGGUCGCUAAGCCGCAAGGUGGAGCCAAUCCUCAAAGUUGGCCUCAGUUCAGAUUGUAGGCUGCAACUCGCCUGCAUGAAGAUGGAGUUGCUAGUAAACGCAGGUCAGCUAUACUGCGUUGAAUACGUUCCCGGGGCUU